rnacentral:rRNA from 1 species
CAAAGCAGUGAUGCAGAGCAAAUCCCCAAAAGCAGUCUUAGUUCGGAUUGUAGGCUGCAACUCGCCUACAUGAAGUCGGAAUUGCUAGUAAUCGCGGAUCAGCAUGCCGCGGUGAAUACGUUCCCGGGCCUUGUACACACCGCCCGUCACACCAUGGGAGUCGGUAACACCCGAAGCCUGUAGUCUAACCGCAAGGAGGACGCAGUCGAAGGUGGGAUUGAUGACUGGGGUGAAGUCGUAACAAGGUAGC